rnacentral:rRNA from 1 species
GACGAACGCUGGCGGCGUGCUUAACACAUGCAAGUCGAACGAUGAAGAAGAGACACGCGACCUUCGGUUCAAAUUUCACUUCGGAUUAGUGGCAGACGGGUGAGUAACGCGUGAGCAACCUACCUCUUACAAAGGGAUAGCCUCGGGAAACCGUGAUUAAUACCAUAUGACACAUUCAUAAGGCAUCUUAAGAAUGUUAAAGCUACGGCGGUAAGAGAUGGGCUCGCGUCCCAUUAGCUAGUUGGUGAGGUAACGGCCCACCAAGGCGACGAUGGGUAACCGGCCUGAGAGGGUGAACGGUCACAUUGGAACUGAGACACGGUCCAAACUCCUACGGGAGGCAGCAGUGGGGAAUAUUGCACAAUGGAGGGAACUCUGAUGCAGCGACGCCGCGUGAGCGAUGAAGGAAUUCGUGUCGUAAAGCUCUGUUCUAUGGGAAGAAAAGGACUGUACCAUAGGAGAAAGCCCCGGCUAAAUACGUG